rnacentral:rRNA from 1 species
UACGGAGGGGGGCUAGCGUUGUUCGGAAUUACUGGGCGUAAAGCGCACGUAGGCGGCUUUGCAAGUUAGAGGUGAAAGCCCGGGGCUCAACUCCGGAAUUGCCUUUAAAACUGACAUCGCUAGAAUUGUGGAGAGGUAAGUGGAAUUCCGAGUGUAGAGGUGAAAUUCGAUUAGAUAUUCGGAAGAACACCAGUGGCGAAGGCGACUUACUGGACACAUAUUGACGCUGAGGUGCGAAAGCGUGGGGAGCAAACAGG